AGAGUUUGAUCAUGGCUCAGGACGAACGCUGGCGGCGUGCUUAACACAUGCAAGUCGAGCGGUAAGGCCCUUCGGGGUACACGAGCGGCGAACGGGUGAGUAACACGUGGGUAAUCUGCCCUGCACUCUGGGAUAAGCCCGGGAAACUGGGUCUAAUACCGGAUACGACCGCUGUGGGCAUCCAUGGUGGUGGAAAGUUCCGGCGGUGCAGGAUGAGCCCGCGGCCUAUCAGCUUGUUGGUGGGGUGAUGGCCUACCAAGGCGACGACGGGUAGCCGGCCUGAGAGGGCGACCGGCCACACUGGGACUGAGACACGGCCCAGACUCCUACGGGAGGCAGCAGUGGGGAAUAUUGCGCAAUGGGCGAAAGCCUGACGCAGCGACGCCGCGUGAGGGAUGACGGCCUUCGGGUUGUAAACCUCUUUCGCCAGGGACGAAGAGUGAUUGACGGUACCUGGAGAAGAAGCACCGGCUAACUACGUGCCAGCAGCCGCGGUAAUACGUAGGGUGCGAGCGUUGUCCGGAAUUAUUGGGCGUAAAGAGCUCGUAGGCGGUUUGUUGCGUCGGCCGUGAAAACUUCACGCUUAACGUGGAGCUUGCGGUCGAUACGGGCAGACUUGAGUUCGGUAGGGGAGACUGGAAUUCCUGGUGUAGCGGUGAAAUGCGCAGAUAUCAGGAGGAACACCGGUGGCGAAGGCGGGUCUCUGGGCCGAUACUGACGCUGAGGAGCGAAAGCGUGGGGAGCGAACAGGAUUAGAUACCCCCGUAGUCC
rnacentral:rRNA from 1 species